rnacentral:rRNA from 1 species
GACGAACGCUGGCGGCGUGCCUAAUACAUGCAAGUCGAACGAGUGGCGGACGGUUGAGUAACACGUGGGAACCUACCCAGCAGAGGGGGAUAACACUUGGAAACAGGUGCUAAUACCGCCUACUGAUGGCUGGACCCGCGGUGCAUUAGCUAGUCGGUGGGGUAAAGGCUCACCUAGGCGACGAUCGCUAGCUGGUCUGAGAGGAUGAUCAGCCACACUGGGACUGAGACACGGCCCAGACUCCUACGGGAGGCAGCAGUGGGGAAUAUUGCACAAUGGGCGCAAGCCUGAUGCAGCCAUGCCGCGUGUAUGAAGAAGGCCUUAGGGUUGUAAAGUACUUUCAGCGGGGAGGCGUUACCCGCAGAAGAAGCACCGGCUAACUCCGUGCCAGCCGCCGCGGUAAUAC